GCACUGAUGAACAUGUUCAUGUUGCCACAUCAAUGAAAAAUACCGAAAAAUUUAAGAUGGGGAAACCAUAAUACUUGGUCCAAAUAGCUAGAAGAAAUUUUACCUUCACAAUGUUGUCGGCAUACUUCAUCAAUCAUGAAACCAGCAAGCCAAUGGAUCUGAGAUUCCAAAUCACUAUCCAUGUGAUACUAUAGCCAUUGAGAACAUGUUGCCACCAGGGCCCCUUCCCAAAUCCACCUUUGAAGUCAUCCAGGAGAAGCUGUGCCUAAUUGAAUAUCACACUAUAUCCAACAAAUAGCCUUGGAUUGGAGCUGAAAAAUAGAGAGCCACAUGAAGCCUCUCCACAACCUUUAACCUGUAUUGAAGACAGACCGAAGCCUAGAUCGCUAGAGCACCUCUGUUGUUACUGCUGGAAUUAGCAAAAAGAAUCUGUAUUGAAGACAGACCGAAGCCUAGAUCGCUAGAGCACCUCUAGUAUCUACUAUAAGAGCUAGAUUCUCUCCUAAGAGCUAGCGAGAAUGGUGAGAAGUGAGUCUGCGUUCCGCUCCUCUUUCUCCGUUAGCUGCUUACUUCAAUUCUGGUUUGAUU
rnacentral:misc_RNA from 1 species